GUCUUACAAUUAUGGAUGCCAUGAUUGCUGCGCUCGAUGAGCUUGGUAAUCCUGAACUUGAAGGGGAUGAUGAAGACCUAGAAACUACACCUCCGGGUGGGAUGGCUUUGAAAAUCUUCCAAACUCUGUUGAAGGCUUGUUUUCACCUUGCUUACAAGGAUGUUGAAUUUGGUAUCAAAAUGAAAGCGCUAUCAGCUUUGAAGAAAUGGAUGUCUAAGUACCCUGAAAUGAUCUUACAACCUCUUUACUUUCGCUACGUUUCAUGGAGUGCUGCCUCAAAAACUAAAAGGAUCAGAAUUCUAUGUCUAGAGAUGUCAAAGACGAUCUUUGAGAAGUCAGAGUCUGAAGAUAUCCUAGCUUUUGCUGAAAGAGAAAUUCGAGUCCUCAAUUGGCAGCUUACAGUUGAGAGCCCUGAUGAAAUCUGUUUAGCUACGGAAUGUUUGAUUCCUAUCCUCAAGAAACGCGUCUUUCGGACAAUGAGCUGAUAGAGUCCCUGCGUGUUUUCGUGAAUUCUUUCUCUGAAAUCUCCGAAGAAAUUUUCGACGUUGACGCACUGGUCGAGAUUUUCAAACGAGACAACGAAACACCAUCUUUCAAGCGCUUCACGGCGUCUUUUCUGAAAGCCGUCGCGCAUGAAGCCUAUGAACCUACUUCGUUCCGAUCAUCAGGAAAGGAUAAUGAAGAUGAGGAAAAUGACGACAAGAAUUUUGCUGUCAAAGUAACUGAUGAACUUUUGAAGUGUCUUGGCUCCAUUAUUUCCACUUACAAAGAGGACAAAAUUAUUUUAGAAAACAUGCUGAGCAUAUGCCAAUUCUUCCAGUGUGAUGAUGACUUGCCCUUCAAUAAUGAGGAUUUGGAGAAUCUCCUGAUGAAAAUAAUCUACAUCUUCAGUUAUUCAACUGAGCCCAGCGUUAAUGAAAAUUGUGUGCAAGCCUUGCAUACAUUAAGCAAAAAAUGUACUAAAGAAGAAAAUAGGAUUGCGUUCAAUGCUAAAACCAACGCUUUAAUCGAUAGUCUUGUCCAAGAGCUUGAGAAGUCGUUCGAAUCUUGGGAAUCGCAGCUCUCAAUGGGCUCUGCAGCUUACUAUGAAGAACUGACAUCCAUCCAAAGAAAAUUAUUUUACUUGCAUCCUUAUUUCAAAAUACCUCUGACAACUUUUAGAGGUUGUGAGAUUUUUGUCACUUAUUUUUGUCAGAUAUUUAGUUCAGGACCAGAGAUUUUGAGCGAAAUAACCAUUUGGCAGGAGGUUUGUACAUUCUAACCAGAACUCAUCAUUUUAUCAAUCAUUUGCUUUAGUUUAUUUGUCUCUCUGUAUUUUCUUGACUGAUUCAGUAGAUUUGACAGACUGUUACAGUAGACUGUUUCAGCAAAUUUGGCUAAAAUUGACACUCUAAAUCAUUCUAGAGGAUCAAUAUUGUUUUCUACACUAUAAAAGGGACCAGUUCCAGUGUAUCUCUGAGUGGCCGUUUUACUCUCUUUGGUCAAAUGUCGCACUGGUUUUCUCGAAAUUUUUGCACCUCGGUGACUUAAGAAUUCCUAAAUUGUUUUAAUUAAGUGCCCUUUUUCUAAAUGUUGUGAAGUUUGCAAAGACUCAAGGUGAUAAGUUUCCACUGUAAUAAUUUUACAGGCAAAAUUGUCUCUUCCUUCAAGAUUCUCGAAGGUUAGAACGUAACAAUACAAGUAUCCAAAAUCCUC
rnacentral:lncRNA from 1 species